UUGGUAUCCCAGUUAAUCGCAAGAUUUAUCUUGAGGAAAGUCCAAACUUCAUAGAGCAAUGGUGGCAGUUAACGACUGCUGGGAGUAAUCCUAAGGAAAGUGCAACAGAAAGUAAACCGCCUAUAAGGUAAGGGUGAAAGGGUGAGGUAAGAGCUCACCAGAGAUAUAGGAGACUAUAUUUGCUUGUAAACCCCACCAGAAGCAAGAAUGAAAUAAAAGAUUAUGGGGCUGCUCGUCCUUCUUUUGGUUAUUCGCUCGAGUUUGUAUGUAAAUACAAGCCUAGAAAAAUGAUUAACAAAUACAGAAUUUGGCUUAUAGGGGUGCCAAUUUU
rnacentral:RNase_P_RNA from 1 species